GACGAACGCUGGCGGCGUGCUUAACACAUGCAAGUCGAACGGAAAGGCCCUGCUUUUGUGGGGUGCUCGAGUGGCGAACGGGUGAGUAACACGUGAGUAACCUGCCCUUGACUUUUGGAUAACUUCAGGAAACUGGGGCUAAUACCGGAUAGGAGCUCCUGCUGCAUGGUGGGGGUUGGAAAGUUUCGGCGGUUGGGGAUGGACUCGCGGCUUAUCAGCUUGUUGGUGGGGUAGUGGCUUACCAAGGCUUUGACGGGUAGCCGGCCUGAGAGGGUGACCGGCCACAUUGGGACUGAGAUACGGCCCAGACUCCUACGGGAGGCAGCAGUGGGGAAUAUUGCACAAUGGGCGGAAGCCUGAUGCAGCAACGCCGCGUGCGGGAUGACGGCCUUCGGGUUGUAAACCGCCUUCGCCUGUGACGAAGCGUGAGUGACGGUAAUGGGUAAAGAAGCACCGGCUAACUACGUG
rnacentral:rRNA from 1 species